GAGGGAAAAGGGAAUCUCUGGAUUUCCAGCUGCCUUCUGGUUUUCCUAAGAGGAAAAGGGAUUUUUUUUUUUUUUAGUUUUCCUGAGGGGAAUGGGAAUGUCCGUGUUUCCACAGGGAGAGGCCGCUUUCUGAUUCUCCCGAGGGCAGAUUAAAUUCCUCUUUUUCCUGAGGGAGGUGCCGAUUCCCGUUUUUCCAGGUGGAAAAGGAGAAUCCCGUUUUCCCCGAGGGAGUGGCGAUUUCCUUGUUUUUCCAAGGAGAAAAGGGCGGUUUCUGGGUUUCCUAAAGGAAAAGAAGAAUCCAGGAUUUUUUGAAGGGAAAGGAAAUUUCUGCUUUUCCUGAAGGAAGGUCCAUUUUCUGACAGCUCUUGAGGGGAAAAGAGGACUUACAGAUUUUCUGGAGGAAGAGGCCCCUUCCUGGUUUUCUUGAGGGAAAAGAACUUCCUUCUCCUGAGGAAAAUUCACUUUGUUUUUCCAGUGGG